CUUUCAAUUUGAAUCCAUUCCUCCCAUCCUGUCACUGCAUGCUCUUGUAUAUAGUAAUUCUUAAAAGGUUAAGAUGAUACUUAUGUAAGCAAGUUAAGUUCCUUUUCUGUUUAUUUAGUUUUUAAAAGGACUAAAUUGCUAUUAAACAAGAAAGAAAUACCUACAUCCUUCAACCAAAAACACGUUAAAAUGAAUGAAGACAAUGCUGGCAGUGCUGGCUUUUGAUGAUACAGGUUAAAGUUGUCAGAAGCCUCUCAGCAAGUGACAAUGCUGUGUCCUGUUACAUGAUGGAGGUGACUCCCGUUGCCUCAGUACGUACUACUGAACUACCUGCCAAACAAUCUUUCUGCUUCAAGGCUACGUGUUUUCCAGGAAUAUUUCUAUCAGGGCAUUUCAUUCCUGUUUCAAAAUGUGAUCUACAAGACAAACAUCAUCCCAAAUACAAACUUUAGAAGUAAAUCAUGAAUGCAAAUGUGUUUCAAUGGAAGAAAGGUGAUUAUGGAAUUAAAAGGUAGACUUUUUUUUCCUUUUCCCCUUUCUU
rnacentral:lncRNA from 1 species